GAUGAACGCUGGCGGCGUGCCUAAUACAUGCAAGUCGAGCGAACGGACGAGAAGCUUGCUUCUCUGAUGUUAGCGGCGGACGGGUGAGUAACACGUGGAUAACCUACCUAUAAGACUGGGAUAACUUCGGGAAACCGGAGCUAAUACCGGAUAAUAUUUUGAACCGCAUGGUUCAAAAGUGAAAGACGGUCUUGCUGUCACUUAUAGAUGGAUCCGCGCUGCAUUAGCUAGUUGGUACGGUAACGGCUUACCAAGGCAACGAUGCAUAGCCGACCUGAGAGGGUGAUCGGCCACACUGGAACUGAGACACGGUCCAGACUCCUACGGGAGGCAGCAGUAGGGAAUCUUCCGCAAUGGGCGAAAGCCUGACGGAGCAACGCCGCGUGAGUGAUGAAGGUCUUCGGAUCGUAAAACUCUGUUAUUAGGGAAGAACAUAUGUGUAAGUAACUGUGCACAUCUUGACGGUACCUAAUCAGAAAGCCACGGCUAACUACGUG
rnacentral:rRNA from 1 species